CACGAAGCCGCAGGCCUGCGCCAGCUCGGCUGAGCUGUCUUGGAAAUUUGGGAUGCUUCUCUUUGCUGUCACUCACUGGAGCCUAGAUGUGUGUGCUCAGUGCCGGAACCAGAAGUAAACCAGCAGCCUGAGAAUGAAGCGCUCUAUUGGGCUGAUAGAGUACUAUGAAGACUUAAAGACUGGGCCUGAUUAUUCAAGACCUUGUGAGUGGGAAGAAGGAUUUUCCAUGGAUAGAACUGAAAGCACCCACAAGAUAAACAGGUGUAUCCCAAUAGGCCUCAGUCAAGGUCAGAGUUCAUCAUUCAACAAUAAGAAGACGACUGGGCUGGGUGUUACAAGUAUGUAAAAAACUAAGAAACCAA